rnacentral:misc_RNA from 1 species
GAUGAAGAACGUAGCGAAAUGCGAUAAGUAGUGUGAAUUGCAGAAUUCAGUGAAUCAUCGAAUCUUUGAACGCACAUUGCGCCUCCUGGUAUUCCGGGAGGCAUGCCUGUUCGAGCGUCAUUAAAAUCACUCAAGCUUAGGUUUACCUAUUGCUUGGUCUUGGAGAUGGAAGCCAAUUCAUUGGAAUCCUCUUCGAAAUCCAAUGGCGAAGACCCUUGCUCUCCCAAGUGUAGUAAUAACUUAUGUCACUGAAGGAAGCGAGAAAUCUUCCGCCGUAACCCCCAUAUUUUCUAUGAUUGACCUCGGAUCAGGUAGGGAUACCCGCUGAACUUAAGCAUAUCAAAAGCGGAGGA